rnacentral:rRNA from 1 species
ACGGGAGGCAGCAGUGGGGAAUAUUGCACAAUGGGCGCAAGCCUGAUGCAGCGACGCCGCGUGAGCGAAGAAGUAUUUCGGUAUGUAAGGCUCUAUCAGCAGGGAAGAUAAUGACGGUACCUGACUAAGAAGCACCGGCUAAAUACGUGCCAGCAGCCGCGGUAAUACGUAUGGUGCAAGCGUUAUCCGGAUUUACUGGGUGUAAAGGGAGCGUAGGCGGUCUAGCAAGUCUGAUGUGAAAACCCGGGGCUCAACUUCGGGAUUGCAUUGGAAACUGUCAGACUAGAGUGUCGGAGGGGUAAGUGGAAUUCCUAGUGUAGCGGUGAAAUGCGUAGAUAUUAGGAGGAACACCAGUGGCGAAGGCGGCUUACUGGACGAUUACUGACGCUGAGGCUCGAAAGCGUGGGGAGCAAACAGGAUUAGAUACCCUGGUA